rnacentral:rRNA from 1 species
CCUACGGGAGGCAGCAGUGGGGAAUAUUGCACAAUGGGGGGAACCCUGAUGCAGCGACGCCGCGUGGGUGAAGGAGUAUUUCGGUAUGUAAAGCCCUAUCAGCAGGGACGAAAAAUGACGGUACCUGACUAAGCAGCACCGGCUAAAUACGUGCCAGCAGCCGCGGUAAUACGUAUGGUGCAAGCGUUAUCCGGAUUUACUGGGUGUAAAGGGAGCGAAGGCGGCGCGUUAAGCCUGGUGUGAAAGUCCGCGGCCCAACCGCGGGACUGCAUUGGGAACUGGCGCGCUGGAGUGCCGGAGGGGUAGGCGGAAUUCCUAGUGUAGCGGUGAAAUGCGUAGAUAUUAGGAGGAACACCAGUGGCGAAGGCGGCCUACUGGACGGUGACUGACGCUGAGGCUCGAAAGCGUGGGGAGCAAACAGGAUUAGAUACCCCAGUAGUC